ACCUUUGCAAGAGGGUCCAAGACAUUUGCAUCAUCGUUCAGCGAGAGCUGUAAACACAGCAUCUGCCUUUGACCACAUCCAUCUGGAAGAACCUGAGAGAUAAUCCAUUUUAUGAAAUUUUCCCUACCCUGAAAUGGGAGAAGG
rnacentral:lncRNA from 1 species